ACUCUGGCACAAUAUUACAAAGACACAGGAGAAAUGGCAAGGGAUUUAAGGAAACAUAGAAUCAGGUCUUUAGACGACCUGCUAAAGGUGAGAUUUCUUUCUUAUGGUUCGCAGUAGCGGUGAAAGCUUUUUAUCCUGAAGCAGCAUCCUGGGAAGUAACUUUUGCCUUUACUCUUGUUCCAAUUAGGUGCACCAAUUUAUUCAUCGUCUUUCCCCGGACGACUUGGCAGAAAUGAAUGAUGUGUUUAUGUUUGUGGACAUGCUUAAGCUGAUGCUUCACAUUGAUGCUACUCAGCGUGUCACAUCUCAUAGACUGCUGGAGCACCAGUUCAUCACCAUGAGCCACAUCAUGCCCUUCUACAACCUCAGCCCUUAUUCUCGGUCCUGCCAUGAAAUUAUGAUGGUCUCUCAGAUUCACAGCAGUAGGGAUGCUGAGUGGCAGUCGUCACAGCAGGUCAACAUCAGUUCUGCUCAGCCUAAGUACGAUGUUUGUCCCUCACCUCUCCUGCAUCCUGCUGUGAUGACUGGUCAAGCCCAGCUGGCUGGCCAUGACUGGGACACAACUGUACAUUCUAAAAAAGGCUCCAAGAGUAAGGCUGGAGAUUGCAAUAGCAUCUAUGAGCCCAAGCUGAAGCCGUCUGGAGGUUCUCCAGCAAGAGAAACACAUGCAGGUCCACUGAUGUCCACCAGCAUAAAACCUCACCCUGAGGCUAGAUCUCACAUGAGAAUCAGGUCCGUCCACCCUUCUGGAGACCCUCAACCACAAGUAUUGUGUUGGAACACAAAUAUAUCACAGGGAAAAAGGCCUCCAUUUGAGCACACGUCAAAUGAUGGAAGCAGUAAACAGCUGUUUGUCAAAAGAAAGACAUGUGAUGAUCAUGAAAUCGGGAGAAGAGAUGCAAAGAACCCAAAGCUGCAACACCAAUGAGAAGCCAAGGUUUUAGUUCUGCUGCAGCUGGAGGGACGCCAGAGGCAACACUCACUUAACAUACAGAGGCAGGCUGUGCAUAUCACAUCUAAGCCUUCAGGGGUGUCCGACUUUGUCCUACCUAACUUAAUUCACCUCAUAAUUAGGGGAGCUUAAACAAGUUUGGCCAAUAAACUAUUUGUACAGUAAGCAAUUUUUUCCAUUUUGUAUAAGACAGCAAAGAGGCGAUAACAAUUUAAACUGCAGAAUUUAUUGUCAGUAAACAAUUUGUUUUUUAUCCAUCUUUGUCCAAUCCUUGUCUUUUCUUUGUCACCAGUCUUUCAUGUGUUGUUCUGACUGCUCCCACCUGUUGUCCCAGUGUUUAUCCCAGUUCAGAUGCUUGGUUUCUUUCCUUAGUUUUGCUUUGCACUCUUAAAUAAGUCACUUUAACGCUCUGUCUCUCUCCAGUAAACUCUGUGGGGUCACCAGACCCUGACACCAGGAACAGUGAGCCUUGACUAUGGUCAAGUUUGUUAAAAUCAGCUUUUGCGAUCUAAAUAUCCCCUCUGUAAAUUGUGCUGGGUCGUGUGAUCCAUGUGUUUACCUUGCUUGGAUGCCUGCCAGUUCACCAUCUUUGGAUCCUGAUCCCACGCUCUCCACACAAUAAUGUUUACCUACAGCCUCAAUCAUUUAUGUAAAUGAAGUAGCUGGAUGGAGUAUCAGUUGGAUUCAAAAUACACAUCAUUUAUAUGGGGGGAUGUCGAGGGGAGCUUGUGAAAUAUUAAAAGGAGGGUGCCAAAAAAAGACCAUGGUGGAAUCACAUGUGCCUAAGAUCUUCAGUCCAGUUGUGGUGACCUUUUUAACAACCUUUACCCAUUCAUGACAGAAUAAACCCAAAUAAAAGUGCCUCCUUCCUCUACUCAUGAAGGUACAAAAACUAAAAUUUCACCCAAACGCAUCCCUUCAGAAACCUUCCCUCAUUUUACUUUUCUCACUACAAGUGCUACCAAAAAGCACACUGUCCCGUGUCUUUGCAUCUCUUGCUUGGGAUUACGGCAUUAUUCCAUUAGAAAUAAAUAUCUCAAAAUGUGAGCACAGGUCAAGAAGCGCGUGUUACAAAUGUCAGAAUCAGAACGUUAGAUUUCACAAACAUGAUCAAACGUGGUGCGGGAAAAAAAUAAAAACGAGUGACUUCCUGCAGCGUCCACUCGGUGGGAUCUGUUUAAAUCUGCUUAAAAAUGCAGUUGUUAAGCAGUGAUGUAUUCAGUAUGUGAAAGGCUGCAAUUACAUCCCAUCCACAACUCAGAAGUCAAUUAAACAUUCGAAUCUCUCGGUGACGGCCGUAGUAAAUGGAUGAUGGCUCGUGUCCCACGAACUGGGAUGAUUAAAGCUACAAUUGGGGCUUGCAAACACGCUGAAGUCUUGCCGCGUCUGAUCUGAGCAGAUUAAGGCACGUGUUGUGCUUCCACACAUGAUUUCCCCUCUCAGACGUGACCCCUGUCAAGGUCAAACACUCCUUUUUCCUUCUCUGAUCCUCCCUGUGCCACAGCAUCUCAAAUCUCAUGGAAGCAUGACUGGUUCGUUUCUAUAAGAUUAUUCUCAGAACACCCACAAAUAGACAGUCUGCGCUCCGUCUGAAUGGAGCGUUAUAUUUUCUGAUGCAGUAAAUAAGGAUUAAGGCAUUAAACCAAAUAUAGUUCUCACGAUAGCUGGAGGAACCAAUUACCCUCUGUGUGUGCCUGUUCCCUUUAUAUAUAUCCAACUGCUAAAUGUGAACAGACUUGGGAAAAUCAUGACCUUGGAGGCUGUUUCUUUUUUUCUUUUUUCUUUUUUUAAAAGGUUGCAUCUCAUUUUAUAUUUCCAGGCUACAGUUGGACUGAAUUAAAUGGAUUGUGAGUUAAAUGUAUAGUCCAACAGUUAAGGUCCAGCAGUACAUAUGUAAUAAAGACAAACUGCUUUAAGGAAAAAAAGCACACUAUAUUAUAUAGUAAGUAAAGCCUUAAUGGGAGAGUAAAUGCUUUCUUGAUGAUAAAUGACUGUCAAACUGUGAAUUUCUCCUCCAAAUGCCUCCACAAAAGGCUCCACCGAAACAUUGUCACUGCCUCAUGACACAUUAUUUGUUUUAAUCUAACAGGUAAUUAGUUGAGCUGUAUUUUCAUUUGUCCCAUACAACAUAUGCGAAUAGCAAAAAACAAAAACCCCUGAAUUUUCCUGAGCUGCAUUAAUCGUACAUGCUAAUAUUAGUGGAGGUAUAUCAUAAAUAUCAUUUUAAACUACUUCCUUCCUUUUUUUAAACGCAAACUAAACUGGUUCAGUACUUGAAGAAUUGCAGAUAGAAUCAGAUGACAUGAAGUACAUUAAAUUGUAGCUUCCCAGGGUAAAAUUGCGUAUUUUUCCCCUCUUCAUUAUAAACCACUAUGUCGACAGGGUUGGGUGCGUUUUCU
ensembl:lncRNA